UCUGAGAUUUGCUUUGGGCUUCUGGGAGGUAAUCUCUAAGCCACUGGAAUGUCAUGCUUGAUCACAGUGUCUUUGUUUGCCUGGGGGCCUUGGGCCAGCCAGAUAGUAAAAUGUGAUUUUGGAUGGAGGCUUUGGAUCAUGAAAUAUCAGCUCGACCUCCUGAGGGGCUGGAAACUGAGGUCAGACACAUGAGUAGUCAAUCAUGUCUAUGUGAUGGAACCCCAGUGAAGAG